AUUGAACGCUGGCGGCAGGCCUAACACAUGCAAGUCGAGCGAGCCGCGCAGGGGAGAGUAAUGUAUGGGACUCCGCCCGAGAGAGGGAGAACACCAGUGGAAGCGGUGGCUAACACCGUAAACUAUCGGGUGAACCCAUAUGGGUAUAGCUGGUAGGUGGGGUAAAGGCUCACCUAGGCGACGAUCUCGAGCUGGUCUGAGAGGAUGAUCAGCCACACUGGGACUGAGACACGGCCCAGACUCCUACGGGAGGCAGCAGUGGGGAAUAUUGCACAAUGGGCGCAAGCCUGAUGCAGCCAUGCCGCGUGUAUGAAGAAGGCCUUAGGGUUGUAAAGUACUUUCAGCGGGGAGGCGUUACCCGCAGAAGAAGCACCGGCUAACUCCGUGCCAGCAGCCGCGGUAAUUC
rnacentral:rRNA from 1 species